rnacentral:rRNA from 1 species
GAUCCAGACUCCUACGGGAGGCAGCAGUGAGGAAUAUUGGUCAAUGGGCGCGAGCCUGAACCAGCCAAGUCGCGUGAGGGAAGACGGUCCUAUGGAUUGUAAACCUCUUUUGUCAGGGAGCAAUUGGCGCUACGUGUAGCGUUAUCGAGAGUACCUGAAGAAAAAGCAUCGGCUAACUCCGUGCCAGCAGCCGCGGUAAUACGGAGGAUGCGAGCGUUAUCCGGAUUUAUUGGGUUUAAAGGGUGCGUAGGCGGAGUGCCAAGUCAGGGGAAAAUCGGGGGGCCUCAACCUCGCUCCGCCGUUGAAACUGGCGUUCUUGAGUGGGCGAGAAGUAUGCGGAAUGCGUGGUGUAGCGGUGAAAUGCAUAGAUAUCGCGCAGAACUCCGAUUGCGAAGGCAGCAUGCCGGCUCCACACCGACGCUGAGGCACGAAAGCGUGGGUAUCGAACAGGAUUAGAUACCCCAGUAG